GCACAAGCGGUGGAGCAUGUGGUUUAAUUCGACGCUACGCGAAGACCUUACCUGGGCUUGAACUGCUGGUGGUAGAAGCCCGAAAGGGUAACGACCCGGAGCAAUCCGGGAGCCAGUAGAGGUGCUGCAUGGCUGUCGUCAGCUCGUGUCGUGAGAUGUUGGGUUAAGUCCCGCAACGAGCGCAACCCUUACCCUUAGUUGCCAGCGGGUAAUGCCGGGCACUCUAAGGGGACCGCCCGGAUAACGGGGAGGAAGGCGGGAUGACGUCAAGUCAGCAUGGCCUUUAUGUCCAGGGCUACACACGUGCUACAAUGGGCGAUACAGAGGGAAGCAAGGCCGCAAGGUAGAGCUAAUCCCUAAAGUCGUCCUCAGUUCGGAUUGCAGGCUGCAACUCGCCUGCAUGAAGUCGGAAUCGCUAGUAAUCGCGGAUCAGCUACGCCGCGGUGAAUACGUUCCCGGGCCUU
rnacentral:rRNA from 1 species